rnacentral:misc_RNA from 1 species
CCAUCGAAACGCAAUACGCCACGGAAUUACUUCGGUAAUCGGAUGGUAUGGCGAGCUUUCGCCGUCCACGUUUCUCUUUCUUCAAAAAGACAAGAACCGCGUCGACCUAGAGGGAUCUGGGCCGGUUUGACGAGAAUGGGCCCGUAGCUCAGUUGGUUAGAGCACACGCUGAUAAGCGUG